ensembl:misc_RNA Y_RNA Y RNA
GGCUGGUCCGAUGGCAGUGAGUUAUCAGAACUUAUUAACAUUAGCGUCACUAAAGUUGGUAUACCACCCCCCCCACUACUAAAUUUGACUGGCUUUAA